UCCUAUAAUGAAAGGUUGGAACUUGUAGGUAUCAAACAAGACAGAGGAAAGAAACUCAAAUAUCUUAAAGAAUGUAUUUGAAGCAAAGUAGUUUGUGAAAAUAUUAUGCUUAUUAAUUAUAUGAUCAUAUGAAGAUACCAAUGCUAAAUAUUUAAUAUGAUGAUGAAUAAAUAGUUUUCUCUUGUUUAAAUCAUUUAUAUGUCCAAAAUAACAAGGAAAAAUGAAUCCUUGCAGGAGCCUUUUGACAACAUUCCGGAGGACAAAAUUCGAGAGGCUCUCAGAGUCGUGCUUGAUGCCCGAAAUCGCCCGUUGCUUAUCCAUUGCAACAGAGGAAAACAUCGAACAGGUUGUGUGGUUGGAUGCUUGAGAAAGCUGCAAAGAUGGUGCUUGUCUUCUGUGUUCGAUGAGUACCAGCAAUUUGCUGCUGCUAAAGCGAGGGUUUCGGAUCAGAGGUUGAUCGAGCUAUUCGACACUUCCAGCUUUAAGCAUUUAUUAUCACUUUGCAUUUGUAUUUGACAUGGUCGAGUUGGGCUCUCGUAGAAUCACUGCAGCAUGAUUUUGGAGAGAGAAUCCACAUUAAUGUAAUGUACCAGUAACAUAGAUUUCUGCUUAUGGUAAUUGUAAUGGAGUGUUAACGAUUAAUUGAUUUCCCGGAGGAGAUUGCAGUUUUCA